AUACGUAGGGAGCAAGCGUUGUCCGGAUUUACUGGGUGUAAAGGGUGCGUAGGCGGCUUAACAAGUCAGGUGUGAAAGCCAUGGGCUUAACUCAUGGACUGCACUUGAAACUGUAAAGCUUGAGUGAAGUAGAGGCAGGCGGAAUUCCCGGUGUAGCGGUGAAAUGCGUAGAGAUCGGGAGGAACACCAGUGGCGAAGGCGGCCUGCUGGGCUUUAACUGACGCUGAGGCACGAAAGCAUGGGUAGCAAACAGGAUUAGAUACCCUGGUAGUCCAUGCUGUAAACGAUGAUUACUAGGUGUGGGGGGUCUGACCCCUUCCGUGCCGGAGUUAACACAAUAAGUAAUCCACCUGGGAAGUACGACCGCAAGGUUGAA
rnacentral:rRNA from 1 species